rnacentral:lncRNA from 1 species
AUGGCCGGCGCGCUGGGCAGGGGGGCGGCGGGCUGGCGGCUGCGGAGCGCGGCGGGCGGCAGGAAGGAGAAGCCGCCGGGCGGCAAGCCCCAGCCGCCACCGCACGAAAAUAUGAAGAAGCCCUGGAGCCCUGACUUACCAGCUGAUAACCACUUGUAUAAUUCAGAUUUCACAUCCAUCCCAGGCAGAGAAAGUGAGAAAGAAUUAGCACCUGAUGGCACUGAAGAAAAGAAGGAGAGAGAAAAGAAACAGACCAAUUUCACUUUGUGCAAUGUUUGUAACAUUCAGCUGAACUCUGCUGCUCAGGCACAAAUCCACUACAAUGGCAAAUCCCAUCAGAAGAGGUUAAAACAGCUCAGCAAUGGAAAUCUCAAAAGUGAUAAUGGACACAUGAAUCUUCUGCUAUGCACAGGUUUCAACAUAUGGCUUUCCUCAGUAAUUCUGCAGAUGCUCCUAAGGUUUAGAACUUAUUAUAUCUUCAUCUCUGGAGUUGAUAGCUUUCUUCUUCAUAUUUUUAAUUUUUGUUUUUAAUUGAUUACAGAGAAUCCAGCAAUCCUAAUUUGAUCAUUUUUCACAUGGAAAAAUGCUCUUGUUUUAUAAAACUUGUAAGUCUAUACCUAUAGGAAUAUGAGAAAAGACACAAUGAGCUUUGAUAAAUUCAGGACAAAAUUUACCUACAUAGUAAGACUUGUACUUAAAUACUUACAUAUAAAAAUACCUAAAUAAGGUAUUGGUUUGUGAGCCAAAUGUGGUUCUUUGUUGUUCUUUUUUUGAAGGUAUAUCUGUAUAUCUGCAAUUAUCCCAGGACGAGAAAUUCACAAAGGGUUCUCAUCUAUCUGAGGAAUAUUAACAUAGUCAUCAUCUAUAUGAGGAGAACUGUCAUUAUAUAUGCCCUCACAGAGAUUAAUAAUUAACUUACUGAAAGAGAUUAAAAUUGCAUAGUACAAUUUCUGGAUGAAAACCCCUGUCAGUUACUGGAAUGUGUAGGUAUGUUCUUUCUUUGUGCCUGGCUUCUGUUUCUGUCGUGUAACUUAUUUCCUUAAGCUAUAGAAAGAACACACACACACACCUCCUUUGUAGUGAAAAUACAUUUUAGCUGUUUAGGUGAUGUUUUGGCUACUAGUAUCUUCCUGUUGUGCUUUAUAUACCUAAUCUGUUAUUUUCAUCAGAAACUAGUUUUCAGGCAGUACUGUCAAUCUGAAGUUGCCUUUAGAAGUCAUGGGAUUCAGUCAAAUAUCCAUGAUAAGCAACUGACUUUCUUUAUAAAUACUCACCUUAAUUACUAUUUACAAUUGAAAUAGAUUGCAGAUAUCAGUGAAUGUUGAGAUAAUUAUUUUAAUUAUUGUUGAUUAUUGUUUGUAAUGAUGAUGGACCACACAAUAGUGAUUUAUGGCUGGGCAGAUUAAUACUACAACUAGAAUUGUCAUUUCAGACAAUUUAAAAAAAGGCUUAACAAUUGCAGAACCUAUUUGUGAUGUUGCUUUUUAUAUUAAAGUUGGUUAUAAUCAUUUUUAUGUGAAGCAUUUAGAAGUACUACUUUAAACUGCAGUUUAAAAUAAUUAGCUCUAGGUUGAAGAAAAAAUCAGAAUUCCCUCAUCUAUUAUUAAAAAAAAAAAAAAAUGCUCUUAUCCAGCAAAACUAUAAAUUGAUCAGUAACUACUGCUUUUGUUAAUAAUCCCACUGAUUUCAACAGGUUGUCUCUUAGAAAUAAGCAUAUAUACAGUAAUAAGCCUGUACAUACAACCUGCAUCCCUAUGUGGCAUAUGGAGUAAAGUAUAACUUGAACCAUUCCCACUGAAAACUCUCUUAAAAUUAAUCAUUAAAUAUUAUUUGGAGUUCUUGAAAGUUGCAAUGGUAUUGUGCCUGUACACAAAGCAUUUCCAAAAAUAGCAUCAUUAUUUUUUCUCUGAAUGAUGCAGGAGCUCACAUGCAAAAAUCUUAAUUUGGAUUGAGUGUAACUUGUUUGUUUAGUCUGUUAGAAGAUUUUUAGUUUGGAUUUUGGGGGGAGGGAGGAGUAGUUAAUCAGUUCAGUAAGUCAGAAAGUGGUUUAUACUCUUAGUAGUAUGCUUGAAGAGCAUAUUUUUAUUCCUGAAAAAAGGUAAAUUUUGACCCAAACAGCAGUGUGACUGUUUUUGAUGGAGUCAGGUUUGGCACCAUGAUGGAAGUGGUAUAAUGUCUUAUGAAAUACACCUACCUCGUCACAGAGCUGUUGGCUGCAUUUUGUAGUGCAAACUAAAACUAGAAAGCAGUUGGCAUACUUCAUUCAUUUAUAUGGCAUUAUCAGAUGCGGUUGAUGAAAUGUAACAGCCUAAAUAUCCUUCUUUUCACAAUACUAUAAUUGAUUAUCCAUUUGUCAAAAAGUGGGUAAGGCUGAUGUGAAUAAAUAAAAUUCCACUACCUUCUGAAUAACAUAUUUUAAAAUUGACCCCCCUGCCUGUUUGUAGCUCCAAUAAGGACACCCAGACCUGGAACAGCUUUAUUUAUUUAUUUAUUUUUUUGGAUGUGAGUCACUGAUUGUGCCACUUUUUGAGUUGAUCUGCUUAUGUGGCUCUUCAUAUUAAGAUCACUAUAUUCAGCUUGUAGAGAUUAUCCCAUUAUUAUAGUCAACUGAAAGGUAAGAAGCUAGAAAGCUUAAAAAUACCAAGGAAUACACACAAUUAAAAUUGUGGAAGCUUAGGAAAAUCCUCCCAAGAAACAUGAACAUUCUUUGUGCUUUUUUCUUCUCUUUAAAAUCCUUUUAAGUCUGUAGUUUCUUGGCCUAAGAUAGUUUUGUUCCAGCUUAAUAUGAAGAAUGCUAUGCCAUUAAAUCUUCAGUUUCUCUGAAACUUGACAUGAAACAUGGACAUUACCCUGUAUCUUUUUUUUUCUGAAUGCACGUUAAGUCAAUUGCUUUGACACUUCUUUUAACAUAAAAAUAUCACAGUAAUUCAUAAUGAAAGCCAUAUUUGUAGAACUGUGAUAUUGCUGUGUUCAUACAGUUCUUGCACCUCUGAAUUUAAACUUUUUUUUUUUUUAUAGCAUUACUUUAAAACUUCACAUUGACUUUAUGAAAUUGAUCUACGUUUAUGGAAGAAAAAAGUGUUUAUAAUUUAGCAUUGUUUUUGUUAUUCUUACAGUCAAACUUUAUUUUAUUUUGUAAAAUACUAUUUUGCUAUGGUUCAUUUGUCUUAGCACUCCUACUACUUUUGUCUGUAGAAAACAUUCAUUGUGACAGCAUCACAAAAAAAAAAUUCAAUUUAUAUACUAGAAAAUUGUCUGUGUUUUCAUUAAAAAAAUGCCCUAUACUUUUAUAUUUUUAUGUCAUAUUUGAAAUGUGUUUAAUAUUUCUUUUGUUGUUGUUGUUAAUGGUAGGUAUAUACUGUGCUAAUGAAAUAAAAGUGUUCCUUUUACUCUUUUAAUAACAUCAAAAUUUUAAAUAGCUUUUCAAAUUUGAAGGCAUAUGAUUUGCUUUAAUUUGGUGCCCUGAAUUUUGCAUUCUACUGGUUAAGCAGCAGACCUACAAUUAUCUGAUAGAGGCUGCCUUCUUGACAUUUUCCGGCUUAUUUUUUAUCCUCAAGUAGAGCUCUGUAUUUUGCAUAAGCUUUAGGUAAUCAUGUAAACUAGUUGCAUCAUUGAAAUAUUUUUAUUUCAAAUUCAAAUACAUUGAGGACUGCACAUAUGAUCUUAAAAUAAUUUUUGUAAAUCUUCUCAUGUGUCUCUUUAUGUGAUUUAAAUUGUUCUUGGAUCUAUUUUCCUCAUCUACUCUAUUGAAGCGUAAACUAUUUAAAUUCAAAUAUUUAAAAGUACUGUGAGCCACUUUGUAUAUAUCUGCCCAAGCUUAAGUAUUGACAUAGUGUAUGAUAUUUAAUCCAUACUUUUUUUUCUUCCCUUUGUGGUAUACAGUGCAGUUUCACUCCCAUGUUAUUUUCAGCAUUAGGUGGAAAUUUUGUGAACAGUUCUACAACAGCAGAGCAACGGGACUCUUCCAUACAAUCAGUUGAUUAUUUUUAUGUGUUGGAAGGUUUGGUGUUCUCAGUGGUGAGAGUUUCUGGAACAGUUUUCUCUGCAAAUGCCAAGUGCACUCAAAAAUGACUUAUAGUCUUUCUUAAGGAUUAAUGUUAACCACUAGUGAAUAACUGUUUUUCUUCAGAUCCUGGUGAAUAGCAAAGCUGCUGUUGGAUUUCUUAUAGGACCAAAAUGCAGAUCUACUAAACUGUCAGGUACAAUAAAUGCUAGCUGUAGAUCAUACUUUAUUCAGCUUAGGCCAAUGCAUUUGAUGUAUAAUAUAGUACCAUAGGUUGUGCAUGCACAGAACAUUUUACAGAUGAGUAUUUGUCUCUCUUCUUUAGCUGUCAGCAUAGA